rnacentral:misc_RNA from 1 species
AUUAAAAAAAAAAAAAAAAAUACACAUGUAGAGAUGAGUUACUUUUCAAGAAUUUAGAAAAACAAAACAGAAGAAUGAAUUGACAUUCUCAUGUUUUAUGUACUAUCAAUUUGGAUAGUGUACUCUUAUUGGUUAAUAUUGUGAAUUAUCUAGUAUACUCUGAAUCAACUUCCUCAAGCUUGUUAUACAGAAGGUUUAUUCAGUGUGUUAAACUUGAUUUCUGUUAAAAAAAGAAAGUAGUUUAUUCUGCUUCUGUCACAAUGUAAU